CACGUAGGGCGCGAGCGUUGUCCGGAAUUAUUGGGCGUAAAGAGCUCGUAGGCGGCCUGUUGCGUCCGCUGUGAAAGCCCGGGGCUUAACCCCGGGUCGGCAGUGGAUACGGGCAGGCUGGAGGCAGGCAGGGGAGAACGGAAUUCCCGGUGUAGCGGUGAAAUGCGCAGAUAUCAGGAGGAACACCUGCGGUGUAGACGGCUUUCUGGACCAUAGCUGACGCCGAGACACGAAAGCGUGGGUAGCAAACAGG
rnacentral:rRNA from 1 species